UUAAGUGACUAAGCGUACACGGUGGAUGCCUUGGCAGUCAGAGGCGAUGAAAGACGUAGUAACUUGCGAUAAGCCCAGAUUAGGUAGUAACAACCAUUUGAGUCUGGGAUUUCUGAAUGGGGAAACCCACGUGCAUAAGCACGUAUCCUUACCUGAAUACAUAGGGUAAGGAGGCGAACCGGGGGAACUGAAACAUCUAAGUACCCCGAGGAAAAGAAAUCAACCGAGAUUCCGAAAGUAGCGGCGAGCGAAAUUGGACUAGCCCUUAAGCUUUACACGCGUUAGACGAACGGUCUGGAAAGUCCGACGAUACAGGGUGAUAGUCCCGUAGUUGACGACGUGUGUUCAGUGAAAUCGAGUAGGGCGGGACACGUGAUAUCCUGUCUGAAUAUGGGGGGACCAUCCUCCAAGGCUAAAUACUACUGACUGACCGAUAGUGAACCAGUACCGUGAGGGAAAGGCGAAAAGAACCCCUGUGAGGGGAGUGAAAUAGAACCUGAAACCGUGUACGUACAAGCAGUAGGAGCAGGCUUUGUCCUGUGACUGCGUACCUUUUGUAUAAUGGGUCAGCGACUUAUAUUCAGUGGCAAGGUUAACCAUCUAGGGGAGCCGUAGGGAAACCGAGUCUUAACUGGGCGUUCAGUCUCUGGAUAUAGACCCGAAACCAGGUGAUCUAGCCAUGGGCAGGUUGAAGGUUGAGUAACAUCAACUGGAGGACCGAACCGACUAAUGUUGAAAAAUUAGCGGAUGACUUGUGGCUAGGGGUGAAAGGCCAAUCAAACCUGGAGAUAGCUGGUUCUCCCCGAAAGCUAUUUAGGUAGCGCCUCGGACGAAUACUACUGGGGGUAGAGCACUGUUAAGGCUAGGGGGUCAUCCCGACUUACCAACCCUUUGCAAACUCCGAAUACCAGUAAGUACUAUCCGGGAGACACACGGCGGGUGCUAACGUCCGUCGUGGAGAGGGAAACAACCCAGACCGCCAGCUAAGGUCCCAAAUUACUACUAAGUGGGAAACGAUGUGGGAAGGCUCAGACAGCCAGGAUGUUGGCUUAGAAGCAGCCAUCAUUUAAAGAAAGCGUAAUAGCUCACUGGUCGAGUCGGCCUGCGCGGAAGAUGUAACGGGGCUAAGUAGUAAACCGAAGCUGCGGCAAUAUACUUUUGUAUAUUGGGUAGGGGAGCGUUCUGUAAGCGGUUGAAGGUGUGUGGUAACGCAUGCUGGACGUAUCAGAAGUGCGAAUGCUGACAUGAGUAACGAUAAAGGGGGUGAAAAACCUCCUCGCCGGAAGACCAAGGGUUCCUGUCCAACGUUAAUCGGGGCAGGGUAAGUCGACCCCUAAGGCGAGGCCGAAAGGCGUAGUCGAUGGGAAACGGGUUAAUAUUCCCGUACUUCUUACAAUUGCGAUGGGGGGACGGAGAAGGCUAGGUGGGCCUGGCGACGGUUGUCCAGGUUCAAGUGCGUAGGCUUGAGAGUUAGGUAAAUCCGGCUCUCUUUAAGGCUGAGACACGACGUCGAGCCACUACGGUGGUGAAGUCAUUGAUGCCAUGCUUCCAGGAAAAGCCUCUAAGCUUCAGAUUGUAAGGAAUCGUACCCCAAACCGACACAGGUGGUCGGGUAGAGAAUACCAAGGCGCUUGAGAGAACUCGGGUGAAGGAACUAGGCAAAAUGGUACCGUAACUUCGGGAGAAGGUACGCUCUCAACGGUGAAGUCCCUUGCGGAUGGAGCUAUUGAGAGUCGCAGAUACCAGGUGGCUGCAACUGUUUAUUAAAAACACAGCACUGUGCAAAAUCGUAAGAUGACGUAUACGGUGUGACGCCUGCCCGGUGCCGGAAGGUUAAUUGAUGGGGUUAGACUUCGGUCGAAGCUCUUGAUCGAAGCCCCGGUAAACGGCGGCCGUAACUAUAACGGUCCUAAGGUAGCGAAAUUCCUUGUCGGGUAAGUUCCGACCUGCACGAAUGGCGUAAUGAUGGCCACGCUGUCUCCACCCGAGACUCAGUGAAAUUGAAAUCGCUGUGAAGAUGCAGUGUACCCGCGGCUAGACGGAAAGACCCCGUGAACCUUUACUACAGCUUGGCACUGAACAUUGACCCUACAUGUGUAGGAUAGGUGGGAGGCUUUGAAGCACGUACGCCAGUAUGUGUGGAGCCGUCCUUGAAAUACCACCCUUGUAGUGUUGAUGUUCUAACGUCGACCCCUUAUCGGGGUUGCGGACAGUGCCUGGUGGGUAGUUUGACUGGGGCGGUCUCCUCCCAAAGAGUAACGGAGGAGCACGAAGGUGGGCUAAUCACGGUUGGACAUCGUGAGGUUAGUGCAAUGGCAUAAGCCCGCUUGACUGCGAGAAUGACAAUUCGAGCAGGUGCGAAAGCAGGUCAUAGUGAUCCGGUGGUUCUGAAUGGAAGGGCCAUCGCUCAACGGAUAAAAGGUACUCCGGGGAUAACAGGCUGAUACCGCCCAAGAGUUCAUAUCGACGGCGGUGUUUGGCACCUCGAUGUCGGCUCAUCACAUCCUGGGGCUGAAGUCGGUCCCAAGGGUAUGGCUGUUCGCCAUUUAAAGUGGUACGCGAGCUGGGUUUAGAACGUCGUGAGACAGUUCGGUCCCUAUCUGCCGUGGGCGUUGGAAGAUUGAAGGGGGCUGCUCCUAGUACGAGAGGACCGGAGUGGACGAACCUCUGGUGUUCGGGUUGUGUCGCCAGACGCAUUGCCCGGUAGCUAAGUUCGGAAUCGAUAACCGCUGAAAGCAUCUAAGCGGGAAGCGAGCCCUGAGAUGAGUCUUCCCUGAUACUUUAAGUAUCCUAAAGGGUUGUCGGAGACUACGACGUUGAUAGGUCAGGUGUGUAAGUGCUGUGAGGCAUUGAGCUAACUGAUACUAAUUGCCCGUGAGGCUUAACC
rnacentral:rRNA from 1 species